rnacentral:tRNA from 1 species
UGAUAGGUAGCACAGAUGGUAGUUACACUCGACUGUUAAUCGAAAUGUCGUGGGUUCGAGCCCCACCCUAUCAGCCA